GCUGACACAUCCCGGCCAAUCUCCAGCAGACCCUCCCUCCCAGACCCUCCCACCUCCUGGACAGCAUCCAUGUUGAAGGCAGCUUCAACAUGGAUGCUGGCCAGGAGAUGGGAGGGUCUGGGAGGGAGAGUCUGCUGGAGAUUGGCCGGGAUGUGUCAG
rnacentral:miRNA from 1 species